CUUGUUCUGUCCUUCUCACACGUUUUCCCAUCCUGCCCCCAUGUACUUCCACCAGAUCUACACAACUGGAAAUUCAGGUAUCAGGAAAAAAUUCUUCCCUAGCUGUCUCCAUUUCAGUUCUAGGGAAGACAGUUGGAUUCAGAGGUCAGUGCCACUCCAGGACCACCGGGAUGCACAAAACCCAAGGGCAGGGUCUUUGAGGAGCAACAUUGGAACAACUGAUGGUGCUGCCCAGGGAACUGCUCAGGAA